CGCGGCGGGUCCCGUAGCUUGGUGUCUUUCUCUGCUGUGCUGAGCGUUGGUUCCCCCUUGGUUUCCUGAAACGUUCUUACCCCAAACGUUAGAGGUGACGUUAGGAUUAACUGAAGGCUCGGAUCGUUCCUGCUUCAACUUUCUGGGCCCUCACUCACCUCAUUCGCUCCAGUGCUCAGUUGUGUAGAUUGGUGGGGAUGUCGAGGAUACAAAGAUGAAGGAAGAAGAAUGGCUGUCUUUCUUUCUAUUCAGAAAAGAUCCCAGAUAAUAUACCCUGUGUCAUCAUGGCUUCCAAACAGUAAUCCCUUCUUCAGAAAUUCAUCAGCUUCACAGAAAAUUUUGUUGAACAGCCUAAAAACAGAAGAUCAAGGCAAAACAAUCUGCUGUGUAUUGCAACCUAAGAAGUGAGCUGACCUUCCAUUUAGAGGGGCCUGCAACAGCAAUCUGCCUCCUUCAAAGGGUCUGUGGAUCCUCUUGGCUUUCCCGGUAUGUUCCUGUGGUAGUUCUUGGAGCAAAAGUUCACGAUGUGAGUCUCCACACACUGCUCUGUCCACUGGAGUGGGAGCUGCAAGUUAGUCCUGCCUCCAAUCUGCCAUUUUCCCCCACCUGAUCCAUCAUUCUAUUCUCUUUGUCUGAGGGGAAGGCUUGGAGCAGAUGGCAGAAGAAGCUGUUUAGGUAGCCUAAAAUGCAUUGUCAUUACAUUUGUCUGGAAGGCAAAGCCUGGGCUGGAGAUCUAGGCGGGAUCUGGCACAUCAU